UAACACAUAGUAGGUGACUACAACUUGCAAGAUAGGAUCUAAAACACACAUAUAUUGGCGACAACAUAAUAGGUUCAGAUCUGAAAUCAUGGCACUUGGGCCCUAGUGACAAGCAUUAAGCAUAGCCAAGUAGUAGCAACAUCAACCUAGAACAUAGUGGAUACUAGGGAUCAAUCCCCGUCAAGAACUAACUCGAUUACAUGAUAG
rnacentral:lncRNA from 1 species